AACAAUUUGUUCUCCACAUGAAAUGUGCUUUCCACCCACGCUAUGUAAACCAGGUGCUCUCAGGAUAGACAGAAGACUCUGUUACUGCCAAGGUGACUGGUCUGUGCACAGCUUCUCUAUGGACUAUCUGCCUUCACUCUCUCAGCUUCCCACCCAUCCUGUUUUAAAUGCAUGUGUUUGCCUGGCUGUCUUCUCUAGGAGCUCUAUUCAGCUGUGCCUUCUCCAGGAAGUCUGGCACCUUCACCACUGAUGCAAGUCUUCCAUUGCAAGCUUUUAGCACCACCCACUUCCCUUGUGGCCUUGCACACAGUUUGCUUUAUUUUAGCACGUGCGGAGUGUUUUCCACUAAGAGUUCCCCCUGGCCAGGUAUUGUCUGUUUCAUGCUGACUGUCGUCUCCGCCAUUGCCUUGCUAGCAUUGCCACAAAGUAGGUAUGGACAGGAGAGUGUCACUGAAUGGGCAGAAGGUGAAGGAUAACAGGCCAGAGGAUCUGACAUCAAAAGGCAGGAUAGGGAUUAAAAUAAGAGGUACAGUGGCAUUGGAUUCGAAGAAGUCCUCUACUCGAGGAGCUACCAACAUGGGAAGAGGAAAGCAGGUUUCUUUCCUGUGCUUCCUUCCAACCACCCUUUUUAUUUAUUCUUG
rnacentral:lncRNA from 1 species